GCGUACGUACGUACAUACGUCUAGCUGCAUAACUGGUCGCGGUUAUUUGUGUACGUGUGCCCACUGCAAAUGUAUGUGGAGCGCGAGUGAAUUGAGAUAUUAGAACAGUCAUCGAAUCAUUUUUAACACGAGAUUCUUCGAAAACUCAUCGAUAACCGACAGUGCUAUUACGUUUCUGCGUUUUUCUUGAUUUCGUAAACGCAUCGUUGUGUACGAUGCUUUACAACACGUGUGUGGUAUCGACUUACAAUGGCUGCGAGAAAUAUUUGCACACUAUUGGCUCUAUCGUCAUAUUAAUUAUUUGACUGUGAGAGAUAUUAAAUUUUAUAUCAUUUAAUAGCGUUCUCACACAACUGCAAAAAUUUAAUAUCGCGGAUAUUAUGACGUAGGAUAUGGUAAACAAUGCUUCAUUGGGAAAUAAAUAUGUGCCAAUACUUUUCGUAGCCACUGUAAAUAAUGGAACAUUUUACGGAACGUCCACUGUGAUUUAUACAUAUCAUCUACGUAAAACUUUAUGACAUAGAAAAAGCUUUGUUGGUGUUGGUAAAGAUCACUUGUUAAUAUUCGUAGACAAAUGUUAAUGAAAAGCUCUCGACAGUGCUAAUGAGUAAAAUAGAAAAGAUUGAUGAGAAGAAAAUAUGCAAUUGGAAUGUGAAAGAAUACAAAAUUUCUCUAUCCAUUAUAACGACAAUUACGCUUGCUACGGUUUUGCAAUAAAACAGCAAUUAUAAGUCAACUAUAAAUGAUUUAUUUCAUCGUCUAAGUGGAAAUAACAGAAGACAAAUUGGAUUUAAAAAUCAGCUAAGUUUCUUCAUUUUUGUAUUAUAAGACAUUACGAUACAGAAAUAACAUGACAAUUAUUGUAGUUGUCAGCGUAUGAAGAUAAGGGGAAUCCAUUUUACUUCUCUUCAAAUCCAUAUUACAGAUUACAAAUUUUGUACACUUGCAAAAAUACAUCGCAUUGCGUUUGAAGAAGAUAAAAUUAGAUAAUUUCUCCGAUAAAAUCAACUGGUUUCUACUAUCGAUUCUAAGAACAGCGGAUAAUUCGUAAAAAAAAACGAACUUUUUAGAAUUCUUUAGAAUUCUGUAUAAGAGUAAGUAGAUAGUCGAGUGAACUCACUUGCGUGCUUCAAAAAAAUGGAAGUAAAUGUUUUUUCUAUUUUUCUGUAUUUUUAGAUCUCAUCCAUUCACUGAUAUACCAGUUUCAGUCGAGCCUGGUUUACGUUUUUUUAUUUUAUGAUAAUUGUAUCUGUAUUUUUAUCAGUAAUCUUUAUUCUUUGACGUAAACUACUGGAACUGGAAGUCAACAAUGAACAAAAUUAACUCAAAGUAUGCUAGUCACUUUUAACUUAACAGUACCAGAGUCAAGGAUUAGUAUAGUAGAAAUAUUUAUCAUAAAACGUUAGACAUUUUAUUCGAUAUUUUAUCGUUCAAAUAACCAUUAAUUUUAAGGGUUUGUGAAAAUUUGUAAACACCAUUUUAAAUAUUCUAAAGCAGUUAAAUAAUUCUGCAGUGUUAUUAUAUACGCAUCUACCUUGAAAAAAUUAUAUCAUAAUUUUAUACUGUGCGAAAAGAUCACAUUUUCAACUUCUCUUUUGACAAUUUAUUCUUUAAUAAGCUUAAUAAAUGUAGAAAUAUUUUCUCGCUUAAAUGACAUUUAUCAUUUUUUCAUUUUUAUAUUUAAAAGUUAAAGAAUUUCUGUUAUAUCUCCAAGCAAUUUGUCUAUAAAUAAAAAUUGUGACUAUAAAUUAUAGUUAUAAAUUAGUUCGCAGAAACUGAUAAAUAGAUGAACCGCCGUUCCAACAGCAAGUGCAUUUAAAUACAAAGUAAAAGUAAUCAUAGAACGUUUGAUGACACAAUUACUUGGACAAGAAAAACAAUAUUUUUAUCUCAUUUCGUGUACUAAAUAAUGGUUGGACUCGUGCGUUUCCACAAAAUCACAAGGCUCAAAGUAUAACGAGAUCGAGCUGAAGUUCCCUGUCGGAUCAAUUGUUAACGCGACAGAAUUUGCUAGUUGAUUCGAAAUGUGUUCGGACGAACAAGAAUCGUAUCAGUGAUGGAGAAGUAAAUAUGUGCAAACGAGAGACGACAGUCGGAUGUCAGUGGUUUAUCUGAGGGACUGUUUGCGGAGCACAGAAGAAAAUCAAGGAAAAAUAAAGACGUGAAAGAAAAAAAUAUUUCAUUUCAAAUUCCCAGUAUUUUUGUGCAAGAGCCAGGCAAAUUGAAAUAUCGAAGAAGGUUUCUUAAUCACAUUCUUCAAAGAUAUAAGAGACAUCAUUUUUCAUAUCAUUCGUCACACGAAUGCCUUUCUAAACCCAAAAUAUUAAUUGCUUAAACGAGUCGUAAUUAAUUCAGUUUUAUUCAAUUCCACACAAACUGUAAAAUCUGCGCUUAUCCGGUUUUCGUACCAAGGUCUGCAAUUGUGCCACUUAUUGCACUGUUUUCGCUAAAACUCUCUUUAGCCUGCUUGCAGCUUGCCUUCUAUCUUUUUCAUUUCUUUUCCAGCUUCCCCGCUCAUUCCAUGAUCCUUCUAUCCUGUCUUUUAUCCACUACGUCUUCCGACACCUCCUUCGGUUUCCCUAUAAUUAUCUGUUAAGUGAAUUAGAUCUUCGAAUUUAUCCUGCCGCAUAGAUCAUAUCCUCCUCCUCCUCCUCCUCCUCAUCCUCCUCUUCCUCCCAGUGCCUAUUUCAAUUUUCCAACUCUACACACUUUGCUCGUGCUAUUAUCUUUUGACCUUCUCCUUAUUUGCUUAGGUAUUCUGGCAGCCCUAUUGUUCACACGUAUUUGUACCUAUCGUUGCAUUGCUCUGACAUUUAUAAUACCUGAGUCUCAUCGAGUACUCAGACUUUAGUCGCCUUAUUAUGUAUCGCAGAGUUUCCUUGACAAUAUAGACGCGUAAGGGGCAACUGAAGAAGAAAAGAGGCGUAUGAAGCACUUUACCGUGAACACCAUGUCUUAAGAUAGUUGACAUGCUCAGACAACAAGUUAUUUAUAUACGUACGUAUGCUACAUAAAAAGAACAUUUCUGCCGAUUUAGGCCUGAGUUUUGAGAAAAUCGAGCUCGUGCAAUUAGCAGAAUAAGCGAAGUGCCGGCGAUAGCUACCUCGAGCUCGACUUUCUCGAAAACGAAAUGUCAAAGGGAGAAAUUUAUUCGACUUAUUUUUGUAUACAUGUAGAGUGACAGCCUGCUUGUAUUCCAAGACACCCUAUAUAUGGUGCUCCUAUGUUAAAACAUUGAAAUGAGUACGGUGUCUUUAACUGCUCUUGCUUCCUUCUUUCUCAUUGCAAUUAUUCAUCAAUUUAUUCCACUUAUUUUUGUAUACACAUAGAGUGACAGCCUGUUUGUAUUCCAAGACACCCUAUAUAUGGUGCUCCUAUGUUAAAACAUUGAAAUGAGUACGGUGUCUUUAACUGCUCUUGCUUCCUUCUUUCUCAUUGCAAUUAUUCAUCAAUAUAGUCCACUUAUUUUUGUAUACACAUAGAGUAACAACCUGCUUGUAUUCCAAGACACCCUAUAUAUGGUGCUCCUAUGUUAAAACAUUGAAACCCUCAAUAUGGUCACUUUAAGCGCGCCUGCUUCCUUCUUUCUCAUUAUUCCACAGAGUGGCUCCAAGGAAUACUUUAUACACAUUCUUAUUUUCCAAGUAGGUGUUUUCUCUUAAUUAGGUUAUACAUUCCAGUUUCGUAGCAUUCAAUUUUGCAAUCAUUUACAUUUGUCCUUUACUGUCAUCACUUGAAUGAUAUUCCUUCCAAGUUCUAAAGUACGAAACAGCUAUCUUCGAUCAUAUUCUUGUACAGAUUCAGAUGCUGAAGAUUCCACCGUAUUUCCAAUCUUCCUUGUGGGAUAAAAUAUUAUUAAUAUUAAAUGUAUACCAGAAGAAACAUCGUGUUAAGCUGAGCUACUUAAAAAUCUAUAUUUGUUAUCUAUCUGUUAUAUAUUUUGUUUUGCAGGCGCAAACACUAUGUUAGCUCGUUUACGGACAUUAACCUGAAUUCGAGUUUGUUUAACAUUUUUUCCUAACGUACAGUCAUCCACAUUUUGUUAUUUUGAAAGACUCGAGAUUAUAUAGGGUGGAACAGAUAAAGCGCCACAAGCAGUUUUCUUAGAAGACAUCGCAGAUAUUAACUGGAAAUUUUCAGUUGUUAAAUGGUGCAGAGGGGCCAGCAUUUUAGACUGCAGGGGUGAGUUUCUUAAGAGUGGGAAGGAUGCUUUGGAUUUUAAGCUGAUAUCUGCAUGUGGCUAUAUACAAAACUCUUUUAUGAUUCUUCUUCACAAAUAGUAUUUUAUACUAAAAAAUAUAAUAAACAGUCACAUGUUUACUUAACACAAGCUAUUCUUAAUCUAAACAAACUUUUAGUUUGAUAUAGGAGCAACAUACUGUAUGUAACCUUUUUGGAGAAAUAUAAUACAAAAGACUUCUUAUGUCUUUAAAUUAAGACAUUUUUACAAAAAUAAUUAAUACAAAAUAUUGUAUAUUUAACAUUGCUAGUUUGAAAAAUAAAUUUUUACUUUUAAGAAACAAAUUUGUAAUAGUAGAUUUCAGCUACUUUACAAAUUUAAAUAAAGAACAGAAUUGUUUUUAAGAAAAUAAUAAUAUCCAUAGUAAACAAUAACACAAUAGAGAUAACACAACGUAAUGGAUUAUUCUCUCUGCGAUAAAUGCAAAAUAAAAAAGUCCUAUUGAAUGAAGUAAGAUCUCUGUACAAUAAAUUGGAAGAAGAUAAUGUUCUUGGUUUUAAUUUCAAUCGAUAACUUAUCGUCCAGAGAAAUAUCAUGUGUGGUCAUAAUCAUAUAAUGAUAAUUUGUAAUUGAAAAGUAUUUUUCACUGAUAAUUAGUGUCAAUAAAUAUCAGCUUUCACUGGCUAGAUUGACUUCUGCGUAUUUUUAGUAGCGCAAUAACUGCAUUCGAUUACUCAGUACUGCAGUUCUUUGUAUUAAUCAAUGAUAGAAGUAUCUAACAAAUCGCGAUUAAUUUUCUAUAAAUCGUAUCAUCCAUAUCAUGCUUUAUAAAAUAAAUGCUUAUAUAAUGUUUAUUUAUUUAACUUUUUCGAAGCUAUCUGAUAAACUUUUUUCAUGUGUACAAAGGGCACUGCCAGAGAAUCUGAUUUGCAUCUUGAAUUACAUUUUUAUAUUCACGUUUUGUUUCAUUAAUAGCAUAUGCUUAUUUUAUAUGUCUUUAACCAUAACGAUCAUGAUCAUCAAAUACAUUGACUUCAUAUUUACAGCUUCUUGAAAACUUAGUAUAAAAAUGUAAUUUUUUAAUUUAAAUAUAAAGAAUGUAAAUUUAAUUACAAAAAGUAUAAGUUAAAAAAUUUAAUACACUGUCGGAAAAAUUUAUGUCAUUCUAUGUCUAUAGAAUUACUGUAAAUGCUACUAUAACUGAAAAAAUACGAGGUUUUAAACAUUUAAUAAAAAAGAAAAUAAAUACUUAUUUAAAUAAUCGUUGCGUUCUUUAAAAUAAAGAUUUUCAUUUUUCAGUUGUUUAAUAGAAAAGAGUAUGAGGAUGCCUGUUUAAAUUAAUUAAAUUUUUGCAUUUUUCAAAUUGGACGUGCUGUCGUUUUUACCUGAGCAUGAUCAGACUCUGAUGAACAGUUACAAAGUAACUAGCUUUGAAGUACACGUUGGUUUACGCCAACUUCUUCGUCAUGCAACAUCUAAAUAAUUAUUAAAUUAUAAUAAUUAUAUUAAUUAAAUCCUGUUCAUAUAACUUCGAUGUAGGAAAAAUAAAAAAACCCUUUACUGGAGAAACAAAAAAUAAACUUUUUACUUGAUGAAACAUACGAUUCAAAAUUUGACUCAAUGGGGGGAUCUUACAAAGAAUGCAGAGCAGAAGCAGUCGGAUUAUAUUCAUCUUUGGAGAAAGUAUUUUUCAAAUAUAGAUUUUUCUUACUUAAAAUACUCAAACAUUAAAACCACAUUACAUUAUAUUUUUUGCAAUUUAAUUCGUUUUAUCUAACAAAAAUACAAAUAAUUUGUAUUAUUUACUUUACUAUAUAUAUGUAAAUUCCCUAGGGCUCACGUGGGAUAGGGAUUCUUUUUGUUUUACGGAUAGCACCACUUUCUUUGUUUCACGGAUAGAGGGACCUUCUUACGUUUUACGGACAACCAUUUUGAGAAACACUCAUUUCCCAAACAGACGGACAGAGGGCAACAUCAGAGAUAGACAAAAUCACAGAAUAAUUAUUUAAAAUAUUGAAGAUUGACAAAAAAAGAUGGUACCUCAGGACGUUGAAAAUCGAUUCUCGAUUUUCAGGUAGACAUUGUACAGAACUUGUUAUUUAUUGUUAUAGAUUGAUAUCAAUUGUUGUUUACUUCUGUAUUUUAUUUAAAUAUUUUCACAAUAAAUCUCGAUUUUCAGACUUCAGAAUCGAUCACCUGAAUUAUCCCGAGAUUUACGAUCUUACAUAUAUUAUCUGGUAUACUACGAUAUUAUGUCAAUUUUGUAGGUUGCCUAUUUCCGUUUGAAAACGAACCAAAAUUUCCAAAUGAUAAAAAAAAGAAGCGAAUGUUGGCGAGUUUUACACAUGGCAGUGCUUCCACUACGUUUCACGCAGCAAAUCGUUCACAGGGAAAUACAGAAUCGUGUGAAACUGGUCAUCGAAAUUUGCAACAUGUUUGCACUUCAUACGUCGUAUUAAAAACGAUACUUAUGAUAUAAGUUCUGCAUUAUCGUUUGAUAGGAAACAUCAAAUAGUCAGCUAAAUUGACAAUCGCUCAUUAUACUUUGCAAAUGGUUACUUGUAAAACAAGGAGACCAAACAAAUUACGUUGCAAUAUAAUUAAUGCAAUAUAAUUAACUGUGUAAAGAAGCGACUAGGACUGUGGAAUCAUGUUUGAAUGUAUUACAGUUUUUGAAACGUAUCGAUACUUCUCAAUUUAACUUAAUUAUAUUAAUAAUACGAGAAUAUUUAUUUCUUCGUUAUUGAUACGACCCAACCUGUAACCUUUUGUUUUUAAUGUCACGUAAGCGACGUGAUCGCUAAUGAACCAAGUGGGUUGAUGUAAUUUGAACAAAUAAGUAAAAAUAAAACAAGAAUAUUUAUUGUGUUAAAAUUCAGCGAAUAUGUGUGAAAAUAAAGAUGUAUCUAUUCCUUUAAAUUCGAAUUUAGAAAUUAAUGAAAAUAUUACUAAAGAUAAAGGAAUAAAUUACGCAUAUUGUAACAAAUUACAAACAUGAUCAAUGUAAUUAUAAACAGGAUCAAUAUAUAUUUAUAUAUAUCAUAUUUAUCCAUAUUU